GGCUAUGUGGGCAGUUUGGCCGUGACAUCUGUCCCAGGGUUAAUUUGGCUGAUCUGACUGCUAGGCACCUGUGCCCUUCCUCACCACCCCAUGCGUCUACUUCUCUUCCUCUUGGAGCUGAGGCCUGUCAGAAGAGAGGACGACCUGUCUUCCGUCAAGGUUACAGAAGCAGCUGCUCUCACCCCUCCUGGCUAGAACUUCCAAACACGCUCUUAAGAUUAGAAAACUAGACCUAGUUAUUAAUAGAAUUUGUCCAUUAUGCUUACUUUAUCGUG
rnacentral:snRNA from 1 species